rnacentral:rRNA from 1 species
UACGUAGGGUGCAAGCGUUAAUCGGAAUUACUGGGCGUAAAGCGUGCGCAGGCGGUUUUGUAAGUCUGUUGUGAAAUCUAUGGGCUCAACUCAUAGUCUGCAUCGGAAACUGCCGGGCUUGAGUGUGGGAGAGGUGAGUGGAAUUCCUGGUGUAGCGGUGAAAUGCGCAGAUAUCAGGAGGAACACCGGUGGCGAAGGCGGGUCUCUGGGCAAUAAUUGACGCUGAGGAGCGAAAGCGUGGGGGAGCGAACAGG